AUUUAACGCUGGCGGCAGGCCUAACACAUGCAAGUCGAGCGGAUGAAGGUAGCUUGCUCCUGGAUUCAGCGGCUGACGGGUGAGUAAUGCCUAGGAAUCUUCCUGGUAGUGGGGGCUAACGUCCGGAAACGGGCGCUAAUACCGCAUACGUCCUGAGGGAGAAUGUGGGGGAUCUUCGGACCUCACGCUAUCAGAUGAGCCUAGGUCGGAUUAGCUAGUUGGUGGGUUAAUGGCCUACCAAGGCGACGAUCCGUAACUGGUCUGAGAGGAUGAUCAGUCAAACUGGAACUGAAAAACGGUCCAGACUCCUACGGGAGGCAGAAGUGGGGAAUAUUGGAGAAUGGGAGAAAGCCUGAUCCAGCCAUGCCGCGUGUGUGAAGAAGGUCUUCGGAUUGUAAAGCACUUUAAGUUGGGAGGAAGGGAAGUAAGUUAAUACCGGGAUGUUUUGACGUUACCAACAGAAUAAGCACCGGCUAACUUCGUG
rnacentral:rRNA from 1 species